rnacentral:lncRNA from 4 species
AAUUGCUGCGCCGUGCUCGAACAGAUCUCGAUCUCGAUCUCGAUCUCCGCACGCACCAAGGCGAAGCCAAUUCCACUACCACCGCUCUUCCUUCUUCUCACUCCUUCUCGCGACUGCGGCGAGGGUGAGUCUCCUGUCGUGAGAAUUUCGGUCUACCGGCGGCGGCGGCGGCGUUGGGUGUUCUUCGCGUCGUCAGACGUCGGGAUCUGCGCUUGCUCCAUGUGCUCUCGCACUAUGGGGUUCGACGUGGCAACUCAACCAUCUUCUUAG